CCUACGGGAGGCUGUAGUGAGGAAUAUUUGUCAAUGGACGAGAGUCUGAACCAGCCAAGUAGCGUGAAGGAUGACUGCCCUAUGGGUUGUAAACUUCUUUUAUAAAGGAAUAAAACGAGGCACGUGUGCCUUUUUGCAUGUACUUUAUGAAUAAGGAUCGGCUAACUCCGUGCCAGCAGCCGCGGUAAUACGGAGGAUCCGAGCGUUAUCCGGAUUUAGUGGGUUUAAAGGGAGCGUAGAUGGGUUGUUAAGUCAGUUGUGAAAGUUUGCGGCUCAACCGUAAAAUUGCAAUUGAUACUGGCAGUCUUGAGUACAGUUGAGGUAGGCGGAAUUCGUGGUGUAGCGGUGAAAUGCUUAGAUAUCACGAAGAACCCCGAUUGCGAAGGCAGCUUACUAAACUGUGACUGACAUUGAUGCUCGAAAGUGUGGGUAUCAAACAGGAUUAGAUACCCUUGUAGUC
rnacentral:rRNA from 1 species